rnacentral:rRNA from 1 species
CAGAAGAAGCACCGGCUAACUCCGUGCCAGCAGCCGCGGUAAUACGGAGGGUGCGAGCGUUAAUCGGAAUUACUGGGCGUAAAGCGCAUGCAGGUGGUUCGUUAGUUACUAGAUGUGAAGACCGGGCGCUAACCUCGGAACUGCAUUUGAAACUGGCAGACUAGAGUACUGUAGAGGGGGGUAGGAAUUUCAGGUGUAGCGGUGAAAUGCGUAGAGAUCUGAAGGAAUACCGGUGGCGGAAGGACGGCCCCGUCCGGACGAGAAUACUGACACUCAGAUGCGAAAGCGUGGGGAGCAAACAGGAUUAGAUACCCUGGUAG